UUUUUUGGUUUGUUUUACAGUUGGGUGAGCAGACUGAUGCAUUUAACAAAAAAUAAACUUUAACCACUUGCCAACAUGAACAAUGAGGGUGUUAAUGAGGUCAAAUCUGCCAACAGCAAAACUGUGAAACCUCAAAAAUGCUGUCCAAACAAAGCCAAACCAGUGAACCAGUUUUGUAGUUCAUGUUAAAAAAAGUAGUGAAUCAGACAAAUAAAACGGAAUGUGAACCAGAAACUGGAGACCAGGGUUAUUCCACUGGGGCUGAGAAUCAUGCCCUCUUAUUCACUGUCUUUGUCUUGCUAAAUUUGAGAGUUUCUUUCUACAAAGUGGAACACCUUCAGUGGCAGAAAUAAGGAAAAUUUACUGUUUGUUUCCACAGCUCAAAAUAAUCUGUAAAAUUUUGGAUGAAGCCUAAAGGACAAGACAUAUGGAGUUCCUCUAUUCAAAACAUCUGCUAUUGAAGAAGAGGAUGGAUGUGAGCUGUUACUCCAUAUAUUAAAUGAGUGCCCAGAAAAGACAGGAUGAAGGAUGGUCUGAAGUGGAAGACAUCAAAUGCGAUAUAUUUUACAGAGCUUAUUCCUGUUGCAUGUCUUGCCAUCUAGUCUAUGACAGCCUGGAAGUCUGUGAAGUCUGUAAGUGUAGAUUAUGAAAUAGCCUACAGCCUGGAAGUCCAUGAAAAUGAUCUGAAAAAAAAAAACAACAAAAAAACCCCAAAAAACAGUGGGAUCUUGAAAUUACCAAAUCUUUAUUUAAUCUGUAAUAAAUUCCUUGUGUUUUUACACAUUGGGAAAAAUAAUUUGAGUAAAUUGAACAUUGUUCAUUUUUCAGGUAAAUUACAUGGUCCAAAGAAUUUUCUCUGAGUAUUAAAAAAAGCAGUAGUUGACUUUUGUUUCAAUAACAUCAGGAGCAUUUUAGUCUUUUCUUUUACUUUUUCUUUCCAGUAAUGGUAUUUGAAACACCCAAGUACCAGAGAAAUGUAACCAACAUUUCAGGUCCCACAGAGUUUUUGAAUCAAUUUCCUGGCUUUGAGGUUUGGCUUUCAUAUAGGUGUAAUUGUGCAUUUAUAUGCAUGUGUGCCAGUUCAUGCAGACUAAAGUCAGUACAUUUCAGAAAUAGAGGUUAUUUGUCCUUCUCUCACCAAUAGCUGGGAAAAAAUUUGUAUUAAUUUAGUCCAUUAUUGUAGUAAAGGUGUGGCUGUUAAGAGAAAGCAUGCAGGUCCUCACUGGAAGGGUGGCAGAAAAGAGGGAGACAGAAGUGGUAGAAAAUUUUGACUAAGGAAAUUUGAAAGCCAAGGGAAAGUAUAGAGGUAAAGAAGAAAGUGGCAAAGACGUUUAUGAUAAAUUUGCAUACUCUUAUUUUGUAUGAGAAGCUGAGUACUGGCACAUUAAACAUUUUAUUUUAUACUGCAA